CAAGUAGCUACAACAAAACCGAUUACAUUAAUUCACCAGUGAGAGGCAGCAGUGCGCUAAUGUGCAACAGGAACAAAACAACAGAAGAAGAAAAAAGGACGUUGAGCAUGCGCAGCAAGCAAAGUUUUGAAGCUGCGUCGAAUUCUACUUCUUAGCUGAAACUAAGAAGUAGAAAGACUGUUUACAUUUCACCUCUGGACAAAGAAUGAUUGAUUACAUCUACACAAUAAUAAUAAGGUAAGUUAAAAAAAUUGUGUGUGGAUGUAUCUUUCUGUGUGCUGAUAAUUUGAACUGACUAACAUUAGCUCCUUGUCAGCACCAGUGUUCGCUAACAGGGAGCAACGAUCUUUGCUAUUCUGCUAUUAGAACAAAAACUAUAGAAAUACACAACUUGUGGCACUUUUGGGUAAAGUUAAAACUUUUAAACACUUUUUUUAAUUUCAUUUCUCAAAUUGAAAAAUGUUUUACUAGUUUAAAAUGAAAGCAUGUAAAUUCUGAGGAACAAUUCAAGAACAUGCAAGAAGUCGUCAAUAUGAUCUUUAUGUGCCACUUAUAGUAUUAAUUGUUAACAGUAAUCUUUUGCAAAAUUUCCUCUAUAAUUUUAUAACACUGUGAGGCUUGGCCACUUUUUAGGUUAAAGUCAUUUUUCAGUUCACAAAUUUAUUUUCAUCAUUUUAAUACAAUAAUAGUCAUUACGUGAUCAGACAUAUAAGGUUUAAACUGAAUGAGCUCGUUGUUUUGCAGUAAUUAUUUCUUUGCUGUGUUAAAAACACUGAGUACUGUAACAAGAAAUGCUGCUUUUGAAUUGGUUUUAUUACUGAGGCCUCAAAUAGAGAUGUAUAUAACAUUUAUUUCUAUUGUUAACCAUGCAAAUAUCAAGAAAUGAAUGUGUCCUUGUUCUACAAUUCACAUCAUUAGUGGAACUUGCCUUUAUAUGAAGAAUUAUUUUUCAUAUUUAGGAAAAAAGCUUGUGUCGGCUGUCUUCUCUGAGCAGCGGUGUUGUGAUCACCGGCCUCAGUAUAAUAAAGAUUUGACAGAACUACACACCCAUCUGAGGCCUACCUGUUUUAAUUCAUGAUCACCCCGGAUACUUCUACAACUAACCCGCCUGGUGUCUGAUGCUGAUGCAGUCUGGGCACUAGUAUCUGUUGGCUUGCUGACUAUCACUGACGAUUAAGUACUUCUCCAAAUCUUGACGUCUUCUGCCAUCAUUGUUCAGGGUAGUACUGCAAAGAACAGUCUCCAGGGUCUACCUCCAACAUUUGCUUCCGGACGGCCAUGUGCUACGUUUGCAUCACUGCUACAUGUGGUUUACAUACAGGUUACCCUGAUACUGUGAAGAACACCUACAAUAUGAUGCUUGACUUGGGACAGAAAAAAAAACA